GCACAAAUGAAAUCUGAGCAGAAAAUUUGUGCUUUGGAGGAACAAGUUUUAAGGCUUCAAAACCAGUUGAUGGAGGCAGAUACUGAGCAUUCCAAGACAAUUAAUGUGUAUAGAUUACAUCUACUCAAUGCACUACAGGGAGUUAUAAGCAAGGAUGUUAAAAAAGCAUUGGAACUUAU